GACGAACGCUGGCGGCGUGCUUAACACAUGCAAGUCGAACGGUGAAGCGCCUUCCUUUUUGGUGGGUGUGGAUGAGUGGCGAACGGGUGAGUAACACGUGAGUAACCUGCCCCCUUCUUCUGGAUAACCGCAUGAAAGUGUGGCUAAUACGGGAUAUUCUGGGUCUGUCGCAUGAUGGGUCUGGGAAAGAUAUUGUUUCGGUGGGGGAUGGGCUCGCGGCCUAUCAGCUUGUUGGCGGGGUGAUGGCCUACCAAGGCGGUGACGGGUAGCCGGCCUGAGAGGGUGGACGGUCACACUGGGACUGAGACACGGCCCAGACUCCUACGGGAGGCAGCAGUUGGGAAUAUUGCACAAUGGGCGCAAGCCUGAUGCAGCGACGCCGCGUGAGGGAUGGAGGCCUUCGGGUUGUGAACCUCUUUCGCCAGUGAAGCAGGCCUGCCUCGUUUGUGGGUGGGUUGACGGUAGCUGGAGAAGAAGCGCCGGCUAACUACGUG
rnacentral:rRNA from 1 species